rnacentral:rRNA from 1 species
GCUGGCGGCAGGCUAACACAUGCAAGUCGAGCAGGCGUAGCAAUACGUCAGCGGCAGACGGGUGAGUAACGCGUGGGAACGUACCUUUUGGUUCGGAACAACACAGGGAAACUUGUGCUAAUACCGGAUAAGCCCUUACGGGGAAAGAUUUAUCGCCGAAAGAUCGGCCCGCGUCUGAUUAGCUAGUUGGUAGGGUAAUGGCCUACCAAGGCGACGAUCAGUAGCUGGUCUGAGAGGAUGAUCAGCCACAUUGGGACUGAGACACGGCCCAAACUCCUACGGGAGGCAGCAGUGGGGAAUAUUGGACAAUGGGGGCAACCCUGAUCCAGCCAUGCCGCGUGAGUGAUGAAGGCCCUAGGGUUGUAAAGCUCUUUUGUGCGGGAAGAUAAUGACGGUACCGCAAGAAUAAGCCCCGGCUAACUUCGUGCCAGCAGCCGCGGUAAUACGAAGGGGGCUAGCGUUGCUCGGAAUCACUGGGCGUAAAGGGUGCGUAGGCGGGUCUUUAAGUCAAGGGUGAAAUCCUGGAGCUCAACUCCAGAACUGCCUUUGAUACUGAAGAUCUUGAGUUCGGGAGAGGUGA